GUCGGGACAAUUAAGGGCGUAGGGUGGAUGCCUCGGCACCAGAUGCCGAUGAAGGACGUUGCAGGCAACGAUAUGCCUCGGGGAGCUGCCAAGCGAGCUAUGAUCCGGGGAUUUCCGAAUGGGGAAACCCGAUAUCGUGUUGAGCGAUAUCACCCACUGCGCAAGCAGCGGGAGGGCACCCGGUGAAGUGAAACAUCUCAGUAACCGGAGGAAAAGAAAACAAGCAUGCUCACUGCGUUCGCAUAGCACGCACCAUGCAAAACGACGAAUGCGCAACAGAGGAUUACUCCUCCGUUCUGCGUUCUGAGUUCUGCAUUCUGCGUUUGCGAGCGUAGCGAGUCAUGUCAUUCCCUUCGUAGUGGCGAGCGAACGGGGAACAGCCCAAAUUGCAUGGAGCGCAAUUGACCGGCCAUCGUCGUACCGCAAGGUGCUUCGAUCAGUAGGUUGAUUGCACACGGGACGGUGAUGCGCCAUGCGAGGUUAUGCGCCGGAGAGGUCGCGUGCGUCCAGCCACGCGGAUUGGAGAAUGCCCGUGAGGGCGUCUCCUCCUAGUCGAAGCUCCUGGAACGGAGCGCCAAAGCAGGUGAUAGCCCUGUAGACGAAAGGAGGAGUAUACCAAUGCUCUCCGUGCGAAAGUAAGGCGGGACACGUGAAAUCCCGUCGGAAAUAGGGACGACUACGUUCCAAGGCUAAAUACAUCUGGUGACCGAUAGUGAAGCAGUACCGUGAGGGAAAGGUGAAAAACAGCCCGGUGAGGGCAAUGAAAUACAUCUGAAACCCUACGCUUACAAGGAAUCGGAGCCCGUUGCUUUACCGCAGUGGGUGACGGUGUGCCUAUUGAAGAAUGAGCCAGUGAGUUCGUCGUUGUUGCUCGUCGAAGGCCUACGGGCCGAAGGCAGAGGGAAACCGAGUCUGAAUAGGGCAACCGAAUUGUUGUUUGCGCACGGACCAUUGCGGUUCGUGCGCACGCAGCGAUUCACGGCAGCUGCGACGAGACCCGAAACCGGGUGAGCUUGCCAUGGGCAGGGUGAACCUUGAGUAAAAUCAGGGGGAGGCCCGAACCCGUAGGUCGUGUAACGCCUUGGGAUGACCUGUGGCAAGAGGAGAAAUUCCAAUCGAACUCGGUAAUAGCUGGUUCUCCCCGAAAUAGCUUUUGGGCUAGCGCGUCUGUGCCCCCUGGGGGUAGAGCUACUGAUUGGAGCUUCCGGGAGCAAUCCUAGGGCCUCCAACCAAACUCCGAAUACCAGGCAAGGUAUACAGACGUAGUCAGUACGUGGGGGCGAAGCUCCACGGCACAAAAGGGAAACAGCCCAGAUCCCAAUCUAAGGUCCUUAAAUCUCGGCUCAGUGGGAAAGGAAGUGGGACGGCUCUGACAACCAGGAGGUUGGCUUAGAAGCAGCCACCCUUCAAAGAAAGCGUAACAGCUCACUGGUCAAGCUAUCCUGCGCCGAAAAUAUACCGGGGCUAAGUCGAGUACCGAAGAUGGGAAUGGCAUCGCUUCGGCGAUGACCAUGGUAGGGGAGCGUUCCUCGCUGCGUUGAAGCCGGACCCGCGAGGGCCGGUGGAGUGCAGGGAAGUGAGAAUGCUGGCAUGAGUAGCGACAAGGGAAGUGAGAACCUUCCCCACCGUAAGUCCAAGGUUUCCUGGGCAACGCAAAUCGUCCCAGGGUGAGGCGGUCCUAAGGCGAGCCCUCGAGUUAUUGGGGGAUAGCUGAUGGAUAGCAGGUGAAUAUUCCUGCCCUUCCGACCGUGUUCCCGCUGCUGACGCAUCGUAGUGGUCUUCGGGCCUUUUGGCUAUAGGUCUGCUUUGCGGGUUCCCGCAGAGCGCAGGGCGAGUCGCAAGAUGAGUCCAAUGAAGACAAGAGCGGUGCCGAGAAAAGGCGGCGAUUGAUAGCGGUCGGAAUCCGUACCGGAAACCGACACAGGUGGACGGGCACGAUUGUGCCAAGGUGUACGGGAGAACCCUCGUUAAGGAACUCGGCAAAAAAGAGGCCGUAACUUCGGGAUAAGGCCUGCCCCGUCGCAAGACGGGGUCGCAGCGAGCGAUGCAAAGUGACUGUUUACCAAAAACACAGGUCCCUGCGAAGCCGAAAGGCAA
rnacentral:rRNA from 1 species